rnacentral:rRNA from 1 species
UACGUAGGGUGCAAGCGUUAAUCGGAAUUACUGGGCGUAAAGCGUGCGCAGGCGGUUUUGUAAGUCUGUCGUGAAAUCCCCGGGCUCAACCUGGGAAUUGCGAUGAGACUGCAAGGCUAGAAUCUGGCAGAGGGGGGUAGAAUUCCACGUGUAGCAGUGAAAUGCGUAGAGAUGUGGAGGAACACCGAUGGCGAAGGCAGCCUCCUGGGCCAGCACUGACGCUCAUGCACGAAAGCGUGGGGAGCAAACAGG